UACGUAGGUGACAAGCGUUGUCCGGAUUUACUGGGCGUAAAGAGCGCGCAGGCGGUCGAUCAAGUCGAGUGUGAAAGCCCCCGGCUCCAACUGGGGAGGGUCACGGCGAUACUGAUCGACUCGAAGGCAGGAGAGGGUAGUGGAAUUCCCGGUGUAGUGGUGGAAAUGACGUAGAUAUCGGGAGGAACACCAGUGGCGAAGGCGACUACCUGGCCUGUUCUUGACGCUGAGGCGCGAAAGCUAGGGGAGCAAACGGGG
rnacentral:rRNA from 1 species